UGAGACAGUUGCCUCUCUCUGCAAGCUGAAAAAAGCAGGUAAAUAUGUUUUCACAUUUACCUGUUUCUUCUUACUUAUGCUUUCCACAUCCACUCAAAGAUUUUCAUCAAUCAGCGUCCUAUCCCUAGGAAUGCUGGAAAAGUGCAUUUGACAUACCUGAUAGAUUUACACAUGUGCAGUUGGAAGAUCUCUUUGCCUUGUAGUAUCUGGGCAAGGGGAGAGGAAAGGAGUCUAAACAGUGUUUACACACAUGCAGAGCAGGCUGUGGUGUCGGGUUUCUUUCUCCUGCUGCUGCACAAUGAUGCCCUGUUUCUGUCAUUAGUGGACUGAUCUGAAACUGAGGUGGGUAUGUAAGAGGGAGGUCGGAGGGAGGCUGACAAAGCUCUCUUAACUGAGAGGCGUGCCCAACAAUAGAAUCUGACCAAGUUCAUAGUAGGUUUAUAAACAUUUAUUACAUACUUUUUUU